rnacentral:rRNA from 1 species
GAACGGCAUCGGAACUGUCAGGCUAGAGUGCAGGAGAGGAAGGUAGAAUUCCCGGUGUAGCGGUGAAAUGCGUAGAGAUCGGGAGGAAUACCAGUGGCGAAGGCGGCCUUCUGGACUGACACUGACACUGAGGUGCGAAAGCGUGGGUAGCAAACAGGAUUAGAUACCCUGGUAGUCCACGCCGUAAACGAUGUCGACCAGCCGUUGGGUGCCUAGCGCACUUUGUGGCGAAGUUAACGCGAUAAGUCGACCGCCUGGGGAGUACGGCCGCAAGGUUAAAACUCAAAUGAAUUGACGGGGGCCCGCACAAGCGGUGGAGCAUGUGGUUUAAUUCGAUGCAACGCGAAGAACCUUACCUACUCUUGACAUCCUGCGAACUUGUGAGAGAUCA